GACGGAGCCGAGGGGGCGGGGGCUCCCUCCCGGGAGCGUUUCUAGAGCUCGGAGGCAGCUAGUAGGGGUUUCAUUGUCCACAUGUUUAAAGUCUAACAGAAAAAAAAAAUCACUGGAUGUGAAGUUGGGAGACAGAGCCAAGUCUACAUCUACAUCGUCAUGCUGGUGACCUUGGGGCACCACUUUCAGAUAAAAACAUAGACCUGAAUGGCAUCAUCCAGUAUCCAAGGAAACCAUUCUGGCAUCUUCAUGCAACUGAAAGGAUGUUCCACUGAACAGUGACGACUCUGGAGAGAGAGAAGAAAUCACAGAUGGCCAAAUGCAGUUUGAGAGGUGAAUACACCAAGAUUUAGAGAAACUAAGUGACUUGCUCAGGAUUCUGAAAGAGAAUGGCUAUAAAUCUUGGAAAGAAUGCACUGACCAGCUAUCUGAGAACUAUGAAGAACAAACAGCAGAGCAAUUGGAGAA